AUUGAACGCUGGCGGCAGGCCUAACACAUGCAAGUCGGACGGUAGCACAGAGGAGCUUGCUCCUUGGGUGACGAGUGGCGGACGGGUGAGUAAUGUCUGGGGAUCUGCCCGAUAGAGGGGGAUAACCACUGGAAACGGUGGCUAAUACCGCAUAACGUCGCAAGACCAAAGAGGGGGACCUUCGGGCCUCUCACUAUCGGAUGAACCCAGAUGGGAUUAGCUAGUAGGCGGGGUAAUGGCCCACCUAGGCGACGAUCCCUAGCUGGUCUGAGAGGAUGACCAGCCACACUGGAACUGAGACACGGUCCAGACCCCUACGGGAGGCAGCAGUGGGGAAUAUUGCACAAUGGGCGCAAGCCUGAUGUAGCCAUGCCGCGUGUAUGAAGAAGGCCUUCGGGUUGUAAAGUACUUUCAGCGGGGAGGAAGGCGGUGAGGUUAAUAACCUUGCCGAUUGACGUUACCCGCAGAAGAAGCACCGGCUAACUCCGUGCCAGCCGCCGCAGUAAUAC
rnacentral:rRNA from 1 species